GGAGUCCAACGUGUGCGCGAGUCGUUGGGCGUGAAAACCCAAUGGCGCAAUCAAGGUGAAGGAGGGGUUCCCUUCCCAGGGAGGAGGGCGGUCUCGCCGUUAACCGGCGGCCGCUCGCACUCCCGGGGCGUCUCUGGCUCAUUGCGAGCGGAGGCGCACCUAGAGCGUUCACGUUGGGACCCGAAAGAUGGUGAACUAUGCCUGGCCAGGACGAAGCCAGGGGAAACCCUGGUGGAGGUCCGUAGCGGUUCUGACGUGCAAAUCGAUCGUCGGAGCUGGGUAUAGGGGCGAAAGACUAAUCGAACCAUCUAGUAGCUGGUUCCCUCCGAAGUUUCCCUCAGGAUAGCUGGCGCCCAGGUGAGACGAGUCUCAUCCGGUAAAGCGAAUGAUUAGAGGCCUUGGGGUCGAAACGACCUCAACCUAUUCUCAAACUUUAAAUGGAUGAGAACCCCGGCUUGCUUGAUCGAGUGAAGCCGGGGCUCGGAUCCGGGUUCCAAGUGGGCCAAUUUUG
rnacentral:rRNA from 1 species